UGAAAUCUCACCAGGCCCGGACACUGGAAGGAUUGACAGAUUGAUAGCUCUUUCUUGAUUCGGUGCGUGGUGGUGCAUGGCCGUUCUUAGUUGGUUGAGUGAUUUGUCUUGUUAAUUCCGAUAACGAACGAGACUCUGUCCUGCUAAAUAGUGACGCGGUUCAUCGAACCGUGGGCCACUUCUUAGAGGGACUAUCGGAUUCAAACCGAUGGAAGUGUGAGGCAAUAA
rnacentral:rRNA from 1 species